ACGGAGCGACGCCGCGUGUGGGAAGAAGGCCUCGGCCGUAAACCACUGUCGAAGGGGACGAUAAUGACGGUACCCUUGGAGGAAGCCCCGGCUAACUACGUGC
rnacentral:rRNA from 1 species